rnacentral:lncRNA from 1 species
AAAGCCCACACUUAGAGUCACAGAAGUGUUUACAUAGAGCUGACCAGAGGGGAAACGAGAGACUGUGGUUGGUGAUGACUUGUUUCGUGAGCACAGCAUCAAUAUUGAUAGACUCCAAAAGAGAUGCAUAUGCAGAAUGUCCCCUUGGGAUUUGCAGGGACCAUUUGUCUAGGAGAACAUCCAGUACUGUUCAUUCCAGCCAGACAUGACAGAUGCUUCUUACUUGUGUUAUGGAGGAUGGAGGGGCUUACUUUUCCCAUCUUAGACUUUGGAGGAUACUCAGAAAACUUACAAUCUAUCCUUGUUCCCUGUAGUACGGGGUUCCAGGGGGAGGGAUGGAAACUGUGGUUUGCAAGCACUAUGUAAAAGACCCCCAGCAGGGA